rnacentral:rRNA from 1 species
UGAUAGUACCAGAAGAGGAAGAGACGGCUAACUCUGUGCCAGCAGCCGCGGUAAUACAGAGGUCUCAAGCGUUGUUCGGAUUCAUUGGGCGUAGAGGGUGUGUAGGUGGCGCGCUAAGUCGGGUGUGAAAUUUCGGAGCUUAACUCCGAAACUGCAUUCGAUACUGGCGUGCUUGAGGACUGGAGAGGAGACUGGAAUUUACGGUGUAGCAGUGAAAUGCGUAGAUAUCGUAAGGAAGACCAGCGGCGAAGGCGGGUCUCUGGACAGUUCCUGACACUGAGACACGAAGGCCAGGGGAGCAAACGGGAUUAGAUACCCCGGUAGUCCUGGCAGUAAACGGUGCACGUUUGGUGUGGGGGGAUUCGACCCCUUCUGCGCCGGAGCUAACGCGUUAAACGUGCCGCCUGGGGAGUACGGUCGCAAGAUUAAAACUCAAAGAAAUUGACGGGGACCCGCACAAGCGGUGGAGUAUGUGGCUCAAUUCGAUGCAACGCGAAGAACCUUACCAGGCCUUGACAUGCAUCUCUAAACCGGUGAAAGCCGGCGAGUGUCGAAAGACAC